UGGGGAAUUUUGGACAAUGGGCGAAAGCCUGAUCCAGCAAUGCCGCGUGUGUGAAGAAGGCCUUCGGGUUGUAAAGCACUUUUGUCCGGAAAGAAAUCCUUGGCUCUAAUACAGUCGGGGGAUGACGUACCGGAAGAAUAAGCACCGGCUAACUACGUGCCAGCAGCCGCGGUAAUACGUAGGGUGCAAGCGUUAAUCGGAAUUACUGGGCGUAAAGCGUGCGCAGGCGGUUUGCUAAGACCGAUGUGAAAUCCCCGGGCUCAACCUGGGAACUGCAUUGGUGACUGGCAGGCUAGAGUAUGGCAGAGGGGGGUAGAAUUCCACGUNUAGCAGUGAAAUGCGUAGAGAUGUGGAGGAAUACCGAUGGCGAAGGCAGCCCCCUGGGCCAAUACUGACGCUCAUGCACGAAAGCGUGGGGAGCAAACAGGAUUAGAUACCCUGGUAGUCCACGCCCUAAACGAUGUCAACUAGUUGUUGGGGAUUCAUUUCCUUAGUAACGUAGCUAACGCGUGAAGUUGACCGCCUGGGGAGUACGGUCGCAAGAUUAAAACUCAAA
rnacentral:rRNA from 1 species